rnacentral:rRNA from 1 species
UACGAAGGGGGCUAGCGUUGUUCGGAAUCACUGGGCGUAAAGCGCACGUAGGCGGAUCGUUAAGUCGGGGGUGAAAUCCCAGGGCUCAACCCUGGAACUGCCUUUGAUACUGGCGAUCUUGAGUCCGGGAGAGGUGAGUGGAACUGCGAGUGUAGAGGUGAAAUUCGUAGAUAUUCGCAAGAACACCAGUGGCGAAGGCGGCUCACUGGCCCGGUACUGACGCUGAGGUGCGAAAGCGUGGGGAGCAAACAGG